GAUUUUGAAUGUAUAAGGUAUACACUGUGAUUGCAAAUCAUUAGUAUGAGGUUCGAUUCCUCCAAGGUCU
rfam:Stachybotrys chlorohalonata IBT 40285 unplaced genomic scaffold scaffold1832, whole genome shotgun sequence.